CGAUGGAAUAGGGGAUCAUGAGAGAGCCAGAGAGGAGAGGAGAGGUGAGUGAGUUGGAGAGAGCGAGGGCCAGAGGGGAGGGAGGGGGCCGCGUAGGCGGCGCGCGCAGCUACUCGAGGACGGCGUUGGUGCGCUGAGGCUGGUAGCUGGUGGCGUAAACAACGUACGUAGCCGUCAACGGCGCGCUGCUUCUAGCGACGACCAGGGCGUCGUCGGAGCCUGCGAGUUCAUUCUCCUCGCCGGGGUUACCACCGCCGGAGCUCGUGGCCCUAUUCACGUCCGACCCCUACGUCCUCUCCACGUCGCGCCCCGAGCCCCGAGGCUGCUCGACCCACGCCGCGCUGCUUGCUGCUGCCUGCGUCCCUGCGCAACUAGGCCCGUGACCACGAGUUUGGCCAGGGCAAGGCCGGUCUAGGCGCCGCCACGAGUAGAGGCCGCUCCACCGGCCACUGAGCGCCCGGCUGCCGUCGCGUUCUGGUGCCCUCCUCGAGUAGAGUACCCCGACCCCGCGCUCCAGGAUAACCGAAGCCAACGGCCACCGAAUGCAUCCCCACCGCCCCCAGGUCGUAGUACCUCCGAGAAGUUCCCGCUCCUUCGUCUGCCGCUGCUGUUGAAACUCCGGCCGCCCCCGUGGCAGAGGCGCAAGCUACCAGCACCACUUGCGGCACCCGAGGUUGUGCCGGCGGUAACCGAGAUAGGGGAUGUCCCGUAAUGAGUUGACUCGACUACUUCAUUCUCCUUAGGUCUCCACACCCUAAACGUGACACAUAGUAAAAUUCGUACCAACCGGCGUAGCAACCGAGGAGAACUUUCGUGUACAUGAUGAACGUGGUUCUCGUUCUUAAAUUGUCAUCUUUUCGGCAUAGUUGAUAUACAUACGGGGUUACGCUAGUUGUUUUUUAAUACGAGCGUUAAUGGAUCGCGCCCGUGACACAGUAAACCCUUCCUACGAGUUCUAAUCCUUACAGUGGUUCUCCCCGAGCCGAUCUCAAUAGUGGUUCUCCCCUAGUCGUGUCUAAACAGCGGAGGUAUAGAAGUUCGCAGUACCAGACAGCCGCGAACAUUGCUUUAUUUUAUUUGGUAAUAAUAAAGACACUUGAUAUGUGUAAUUUAUAUAUGACCCUGUUUUAGGUUGAAACUUCGUACGCUAGUCCAAUCCGCUCUAUUAGAUGUAGACGUGAUAAUCUAAUCAUGUAACAGUAUAAAACGAAGUUACUUUUUGUGUCGUAGUCACUAUGUUGAAACAAAGUGAUUAACUAGUCAUGUAUACAAAAAGUUGGUAAUCCAAAAAUUGGUCCAUAUAAACAGAACUUACCUUCCUGUUUGUGUUUCUUGGUAAUGUAGUUCUUCGAUAGUCCGAACUCCCAGAGUGUAUAAAAGUGCUGCGAAAGACUUCACAUUCAAUGAUUCAACUUUAGGCAAGAGAGUCGUGAUAAAAAUAGUACAUACUAUAAAAAUAAGAAAGAAAGGGUCUUGAAUAGAGAAAGGAACACAACCUUUAAUAUAAAAUAUACCAAUGAACUGUCAUACUCGGUGUCGAUAAAGGAUCAGACUAAAGAGGACCCACAUGAGACGAAAGACCACAGACUAAACCACUGUUCUUAUAACACAGUUGCCAGUCGCGGACCUAACAUUUAACCUGAACUUUCGUUUAUCGAGAGAUCCGUGCAUUACGUCUAAUAUUGGGGUUCCAUUUUAGUAAUAGGAUUACGUAAGAAGUACUACAACCGAAAAAGGGGAGUGACCCGGACACUACGAUAUAAAGGUUUUUGUAGAUUUAAAAUAGUGAAACCAUCGUAGGUGUACCGAAACACUUAGGACGACACAUCUACCACCUAUCGGACCAUUUUCUCAUCUCUGAAACAUGUACCCAAGAAAACACAUACAUGGGAAGACUUAAACACGAGUAAGCGACUCUUUAAUCUCUUGUUGUCGAAUGAUUUAUCAAAAACUAGCUUACCACUGAACUCUGAGAGAUGGACUGAUGGAAAAUCCGAAAUCGUACUGCCAUUUCCAAUAAGUUUGUACAUUUACCAGUUGAUUAUUAUACUUCAGUUUCACGUACUCCAGUGACCAAGUUCAGGACCUUUGUCGGAGAAUGUCUUUACAUCCCUUUCCGACGCAUGUUAUCUGGGUUUCACCAGUCUGGGAAGGGGUCUGGGACGCGUUCGCCCUCGAUGUACGUGACCCCGACGGGGAAAAAAUUAUUAUACUUCCCAAAAAAACGCCCAUUAUAUACUUUCCAAUAUGGCGUCUUUUCAGUAAUAUGGACCUUCAACUGUUAGUUCGUUAUUGGAAUCCCUUAGAUGUUGAUUUCGUACGUACUGUAGGUGGAUUUGUUUUAAAUCUGUACAUGUAACGUGAAUUGGUUAACGACGUCCAGUUUACACUACACUUCUGCACUGACGUUUCAAUUACACAUACUGGCGUUCUUUGUUCUGGCAUUACAUAUAUUGUUAUUAUUAUUUUAUUUAUACUUAUCGAAUGAGUGGGGGUAGUUACGUAGGUGUCUGCUUUUCUUUAUACUUAUCGAAUGAGUGGGGGUAGCGACAACCCAGCUAAAUAAAAUUAAAUUAAAAACCCGAGUAACAAAGGACGUAGGGUGGC
rnacentral:rRNA from 1 species